ACACGACUACAUUAGAUACCCGGGUAGUCCUAGCCGUAAACGAUACUCGCUAGGUGUCGGCCACGGUGCGACCGUUGUCGGUGCCGUAGGGAAGCCGUGAAGCGAGCCACCGUGGGAAGUACGGCCGCAAGGCUGAAACUUAAAGGAAUUGGCGGGGGAGCACCACAACGGGUGGAGCUUGCGGUUUAAUUGGAUUCAACGCCGGAAAUCUUACCGGGACCGACAGCAACAUGAAGGCCAGGCUGAAGACUUUGCCGGAUUAGCUG
rnacentral:rRNA from 1 species